rnacentral:lncRNA from 1 species
UCCUUUGGGAACCACGGCCAAAGAAGAGAUGGAGCGGUUCUGGAAUAAGAAUAUAGGUUCAAACCGUCCUCUGUCUCCCCACAUUACUAUCUACAGUUGGUCUCUUCCCAUGGCGAUGCUUUGGGUGCCACUGCCUGUGGGUUGCUGGCUUAAAGGACAAUUCUCUUCAUUGGUGAGAGCCCAGGCCAUUAACACCUACACAGUGUUAUUGAAAGAAGAGAGGUGGGGGUGGAGGGGAAUUAGUCUGUCCCAGCUAGAGGGAGAUAAAGAGGGCUAGUUAGUUCUUGGAGCAGCUGCUUUUGAGGAGAAAAUAUAUAGCUUUGGACACGAGGAAGAUCUAGAAAAUUAUCAUUGAACAUAUUAAUGGUUAUUUCUUUUUCUUGGAUUUCCAGAAAAGCCUCUUAAUUUUAUGCUUUCUCAUCGAAGUAAUGUACCCUUUUUUUCUGAAACUGAAUUAAAUACUCAUUUUA